UUGUAGCACGAGUGACGCGAUCAUCAUCGAAUUUGAACCAAUUACUGUCUUUUUCUGGUUUAAUAAGAGCAUAAUAAUGGCCGCCGUGCAAAUCACCUCCAUGGACUAGGACACCGUGCAGCACAUAAACAUGGGAUUCACUUUUAUCGGCUGUUUCAGAGAGAUAAGGCUCUAAAUCAAUUUCUAAUGGGAAUUCAUGUCGAUCGUUAAUUUUCACCAUCAUAUCUCGAAGCAUAUCAUAAUCAAAGCGCUUAAGUUGCAACUGUAGAACAUUGGGAAGCGAUUCAAAAAUUAUACCCUUAUGUGC